rnacentral:rRNA from 2 species
GAAACUUAAAGGAAUUGGCGGGGGAGCACCACAAGGCGUGGAGUCUGCGGUUUAAUUGGAUACAACGCCGGGCAACUCACCAGGGACGACGGCAGUAUGACGGCCAGGCUGAAGGUCUUGCCUGACGAGCCGAGAGGUAGUGCAUGGCCGUCGUCAGCUCGUACCGUGAGGCGUGCGGUUAAGUCCGUUAACGAGCGAGACCCGUGCCCUUAUUUGCUACCGUUUUUCUUCGGAAGGGCGGGCACAAUAGGGGGACCGCUGGCGAUGAGUCAGAGGAAGGUGCGGGCGACGGUAGGUCAGUAUGCUCCGAAUUUCCUGGGCUACACGUGGACUACAAUGGCGUACACAAUGGGUCGCGACACCGAAAGGUGCGAGCUAAUCCUCAAAGUGCGUCUUAGUUCGGAUCGAGGGUUGUAACUCACCCUCGUGAAGCUGAAAUGCCUAGUAAUCGCUUGUCACCAUCAAGCGGUGAAUGUGUCCCCGCUCCUUGCACACACCGCCCGUCAAACCAACCGAGUGAAUUUAGGGUGAGGCGCAACCCUUCGGAUGUGUCGAAUCCUAUUUUCGCAAGGGGGGUUAAGUCGUAACAA